rnacentral:rRNA from 1 species
AACGAACGCUGGCGGCAGGCUUAACACAUGCAAGUCGAACGCAUCCUUCGGGGUGAGUGGCAGACGGGUGAGUAACGCGUGGGAACGUGCCCUUCAGUUCGGGAUAACCCAGGGAAACUUGGGCUAAUACCGGAUACGUGCGAGAGCAGAAAGAUUUAUCGCUGAAGGAUCGGCCCGCGUCUGAUUAGCUAGUUGGUGGGGUAAUGGCCCACCAAGGCGACGAUCAGUAGCUGGUCUGAGAGGAUGAUCAGCCACAUUGGGACUGAGACACGGCCCACACGCCUGCGGGAGGCAGCAGUGGGGAAUAUUGGACAAGGGGCGCAAGUCUGCUCCCGCCAUGCCGCGUGAGUGAUGAAGGCCUUAGGGUUGUAAAGCUCUUUCGUCCGGGACGAUAAUGACGGUACCGGAAGAAGAAGCCCCGGCUAACUUCGUGCCAGCCGCCGCCGUAC